UACGAAGGGGGCUAGCGUUGCUCGGAAUUACUGGGCGUAAAGCGCACGUAGGCGGAUUGUUAAGUCGGGGGUGAAAUCCUGGAGCUCAACUCCAGAACUGCCUUCGAUACUGGCGAUCUCGAGUUCGGGAGAGGUGAGUGGAACUGCGAGUGUAGAGGUGAAAUUCGUAGAUAUUCGCAAGAACACCAGUGGCGAAGGCGGCCCACUGGCCCGAUACUGACGCUGAGGUGCGAAAGCGUGGGGAGCAAACAGG
rnacentral:rRNA from 1 species